rnacentral:misc_RNA from 1 species
GUUGUCGGGUUGGAUUUGUUCUCCACCAUCAUCUUUGUCUUGAGGUUCUCGAGCAGUCGCUUCCUCAUCAUGAUGUGCACCUGGAGUCUCCAGUUGUCCUUGAUCCUUUGCAAUCUCGUCAUCCUGAAUGUCGUCAGACCUUAAGUUUUCUUUGUCCAUCAUUUUCCCAUCUUCUUUAUCUUCUAAACUUCCAACCUGAUGUGUUCCCGAUGUGUCACCCUCACAAGUUUCUUCAUUCAUAGAAUCCUCACACGGCUGAACUACAGGAGUUGAAUGACUGUUGUUGCCAACAUUAGACACAAUAGGACCAUCAUGAUUUUCGCUGUUAAGCCCCAACAUUGACGUUGGUUGAAGAUCUCCUUCCGUUCUCACACAUUCCUCCCCUUCAUUACUCUGAUUUUGCUCAACCUGCGUAUCCUGAUCUUGCAAACUCUCCUUGCCCAAAUGACUCCCAUGAUUAGGCUGGUCCACAUCCACUCCACAAGUUGAGACAUCAUCUGCUUU